rnacentral:lncRNA from 12 species
CUGAGGGCGGGGCCUGUGGCGCGCGGCCCCUCACGGCGAAGGCUCCGGGAGCGGCUCCGUGUGGGGAGCGGAGCGGAGCGGGGCGGAGCGGGGCGGAGCAGCCGGGGCCGCGUCCCGCUGAGGGAGUGGUGAAGAAAUUUCCAAGUUAAUACUGUUCAGUCAAUUAAAUUACCAACUCAGCUGGUGACUCACCUGACUGAAGCAAGUCACAGCACCUCUCCCUUCCCCUGUCAAUACGGGUAAUAAUUCAGGGUUAUCUUACAAGGUGUUUUAAAGUCUAAGUCUUGUAUCUGCAACCAUGUGACAGGACAUUAACCGUAGUUGAUGACCUAU